AUCACUUCUUGUGGAGCAUAUUGUAAGCCUACAGCAUUGUGGCAUCCAGGAAAGCAUUCAGAAGCAUGAGACAAAACGUAGAGAGUCUGCAGACUAAAGGCAAGCAACAAGCAGUGGAUGGACCAAAGAUAGUUCCCUCUGGACAUAGCAUACAGCAACUAAGAUUCAUGUUCAAAGGGUUCCAUGUUACAGUUUCAAACAACAGCUUACCCGCUGUGGAAAAAAAUACUGCAGAGACAUGCUUUAUGUGGACUUGGGGAACUGAAUUUUGCAAGAAUAAUAGCUGAAACUGGCCUUCAGACCUGCUAGCUGUAGUACUGGAAGAAGAUUGUGACCUUGAGUCAAGUCAAUGGAUGGUAAAUACAUUGUGCUUAAAAAACUGCUGGAGAACAUCAAGGAGAGAAGAAAACUGACCCAGUGUCUAAAUCUCUAGUUCUGGUCUCUCUUGAACAGUAGCUCAUUAUACCUACCUGAAAAGUGAGCACCAGGAUUUAUUCUUACUAAAGUGUCCUAAUUUUUAAGCUUUUUUUUUUUUUUUGUGAUGCCAAUUUCUGUCUUUUUUUCUGAUCAUGCUGUAAAACCUCCAACUCACUCCUCCCACCUUCAUAUCUCCAACCAUUUAAUUAACAUUCUCCCUUUCCAUCCUUCUGCAGAUAAUAAGCACAAGCUGUGAAAUAUCCCCCUUGAUUAUCAGAGCAGACUAGCAGUUUCCAGCCUGUUUUACACCUCAGCCUAUUGUUGUAUUCAGAAACUUAUUUUCAAAGCUUGCAUAGAGUAAGAGCACUCUAUGAAGUAGUGUUAAAGCCUUGUUUCAGGUACAGACAGGGUAUCUUCUGCUUCUCUCUCAUUUGCAAAGCUGCAGGAAGAAAUGUGAAAGGUCUGACAUUGGUUCUUGCUGAGUCCAUGUAGCCACCCCUCAGCUUUUCCUCAGCUCCCAUCGUUCUUCCUCUUGCUCUGGUUCCUGGGCUCUCACCUCUGCAGGCCUUCUGCUCAGGUCCCUUCCUCCAACAGAACUCUUUGCUUUCUAUGGGAUGCUUUUCUAUCUGUUCAGAAAACUCAUUUAAAGGCUUUCAUUCUUUGUGUUCCACUGCUCGUGUUCCUUCCUCAGUAUUCUUCUCAUUGCUGUGCCUAUGUUCUCCCCUAUGCCCCUCAGACCACCCUAUGGCUUUUCCUCUUUUUUUCUCUUCUUCCUAGACCCCCACUGCCAUUUCUAUCAUUCCUUCUCUUCUUGCUAAUUCAAAUCAACAAACAAAAAAUGCCUUUCACCCCAACUGCAUGAGAUUAUCCUCUGCCAUUGAAAGCUGACAGAUAGAAACUGUUUAAAUAUCUUUGUGGCUUUUGAAAGUGAAAAGGAAAAGAUUAAGCUGCAUUUACUGCUUUAAUUUGGAACUCAUGAGCACUACCAUAAUGCAGGAUUAGGUUCACACAGUUAUUUUUUAAAGUGCAUAACAAUGUUCCUAUUUGCUCAUCUAACAGAUCAUAGCAAUGCAGUCAUAACUUUUUACAGAUGACAAUGAUCCUUAGGCAGAAGCCUUCAAAAUAAAGCCUUUCUGAGUUUCCAGCUCUUAUAUAGUAAUUAUGUCUUGUACUACAUAUACAAUGGAAAUGGAUGAAUUCGGUCCAAAGAAACAGAUCUUUUCAAAGGAAAUCAGAGCAAGGGAAAGCGGCUCUGCGAUCUCAGAGUUCACAAAGAAAGCAGCUGAUCCUGCCUACACAGUGGGAAUUUCUUUUAAAAAGAAAAGUCUAAUUACAGCUGGCACUUUGGAGCCAAAUAAUUCUACUUUGCUGAAAAGUGACAUGAUUCUUCUGACACUGCAAGCAUGGGGCACGGUGUGCAGUAGUCCCCAUUCUCUCACUUCUCAUUCAAAUUAAAUACAAUGUUACAGGAUUUUUUUUUUAAUUUUUAAUGUCAGAAUUUCCUUCUAGAGUGUUGUGCAGGGGAGAGGGCCUAAAGAACAAUCAGGCCAGCCAAA